rnacentral:rRNA from 1 species
AUGAACGCUGGCGGCGUGCCUAACCCAUGUAAGUCGAACGACACUUACUUAGCAAUAGGUAGGGAGUGGCGGACGGGUGAGUACCACGUAGGAGACCUACCUCAUCGGCAGGGGACUAACCUGGCGAAAGCGAGGCUAAUACCCAAAAGGACGCGCGCUUCGGAUCGCGCGCGCAGAGUGCGUAGCAGAUCGGACGCUGAUCGAGAGGAGUCCUGCGGCCCCAUCAGCUAGUUGGUAGGGUAGCGGCCUACCAAGGCACGAUCUACGGUAGGCCGGUCCUGAGAGGACGAUCCCCACACUGUAACUGAACACGGUCAGACUCCUACGGGAUGGCAGCAGGUAGGAAUAUUGCACAAUGGCGACAGCCCUGAUGCAGCAAAGCCGCGUGGAAGGACUGAAGUCCUCGGGUCGUAAACUCGCUUAAGGAAGGGAGACUGAGCAAGGACGGUAUCACCGCGUGAUACCUAAGCUCACGGCUAACUACGUGCCAGCAGCCGCGGGUAAACGGAGGUGGAGCAAGCGUUAUCCGGAUUCAUUGGGCGUAAGAGCUUGUAGGUGGCGGCGUAUAGUUGGACGUGAAUAUCGCCGGCUAAACCGGGAAGGGUCGUUCAUACUGCGCGGCUGGAGGAGGUCAGAGGGCAAGUGGAAUUCCUGGUGUAGCAGUGAAAUGCGUAGAUAUCAGGAGGAACACCCGUGGCGAAGGCGGCUUCCUGGGGCCGAUCCUGACACUGAGAAGCGAAAGCUAGGGGAGCGAACGGGAUUAGAACCCCGGUAGUCCUAGCCGUAAACGAUGACGCUAGGUGUGCGCAGAUCUUAACCUGCGCGGUGCCGAAGCUAACGCGUUAAGCGUCCGCCUGGGAACUACGAGCGCAAGCUUAAAACUCAAAGAAUUGACGGGGACCCGCACAAGCAGGCGGAGCGUGUGGUUUAAUUCGACUGCUACACGAAGAACCUCACCAGGCUUGAACAUGUGGUGGUAGGGAAGCCUAAAGCGGACCUACCCGCAAGGAGCUCGCCAGGUGCUUGCAUGGCUGUCGUCAGCUCGUGUCGUGAGAUGUUGGUUUAAGUACCUCUAACGAGCGCAACCCUCGUUGCCAGUUACAGGUGUCUGGCGGACUGCCGGCCGCAAGCCGGAGGAAGGCGGGGAUGACGUCAAGUCAGCAUGGCCUUGAUGCCGGGGCUACACACCGCUACAAUGGGUCGCCACAAUGGGUCGCCAAGCCGCGAGGCGGAGCCAAUCCCAUAAAACGGCCCUCAGUUCAGAUCGCAGGCUUGCAACCCGCCUGCGUGAAGUCGGAGUUCGCUAGUAACGCGCGAUCAGCUAUAGUGCGUUGAAUACGUUCCCGGUCUUGUACACACCGCCGUCACACUAUGGGAGCUGGCAACACCUGAAGCCCGGUGGCGUAACCGCAAGGAGCGCGCCGUCAAAGGUGGGGCUGGUGACUGGAGUG